GCUCAGGUGGUGGAAUUGGCAGACACGCUGUCUUCAGGUGGCAGUGCCUUCGGGUGUGCGGGUUCGACUCCCGCCCUGAGUACCA
rnacentral:tRNA from 1 species